rnacentral:tRNA from 1 species
GGUGCUGUGGCAUAGUGGGUAAAGCCACAGCCUGCAACGCUGGUAUCUGAUAUGAGAGCGGGUUCUAGUCCCGGCUGCUCUG